rnacentral:rRNA from 1 species
UACGUAGGGUGCAAGCGUUGUUCGGAAUCAUUGGGCGUAAAGCGAGUGUAGGCGGCUAAUUAAGUCGGGUGUGAAAUCCCUGGGCUCAACCGAGGAAGUGCAUUCGAAACUGAUUAGCUUGAAGAUGUUAGAGGAUGGUGGAGUUCCUAGUGUAGAGGUGAAAUUCGUAGAUAUUAGGAGGAAUACCGGUGGCGAAGGCGGCCAUCUGGGACAUUCUUGACGCUGAGACUCGAAAGCGUGGGUAGCAAACAGG